rnacentral:tRNA from 1 species
UUAAUUGAAACCAAAAAUAGAGGUAUCUUAUUGUUAAUAAGAAAAAUGAAUUAUUAUUCCUAUUAAA